CGCCGCCACGCGCGCCCGCCCUCCACGCCUGUAGGGCGCCGCCCGGCGCCAUCUUGAGCGCGGCAUCUUCUCCGCCUUCCCCUCGGGUUGUAAGCUCUUCAGGGCCGAGGAAACAUCUCUAUUUAUAAAACAGCCUGUGAAGUGGUACUGCUGAAUCAACCAGUUUGCUAAAAUAACAAGAAAUUUUAGCAGAAAUCUGACGUGGAAAAGCAGUUUCCUGUGUAUCCACCUCCGCUCUGUACCGAGCUUUAGGGGAGACUGAGAAGUGAAAGAAUUCCAGGCUUCUUUCAGGGAUCCGCUGGGCAGCUGAACACGACUGCUACACGAGGCGUGCCACAGCGAUGCCAUCACUGCACUCACCGUACGGAUCAUCCCUCGUGGUGAUGCCCAUCAGCUCGGACGUCUUCGGCACGCUGCUGUCCACCGCUGGGACCUGCAGCGGCCGCUCAGUCUCCUGCUGCU